rnacentral:rRNA from 1 species
UGGGGAAUCUUCCGCAAUGGACGAAAGUCUGACGGAGCAACGCCGCGUGAGUGAAGACGGCCUUCGGGUUGUAAAGCUCUGUGAUCCGGGACGAAAGAGCCUGAGGUAAAUAGCCUAAGGAAGUGACGGUACCGGAAAAGCAAGACACGGCUAACUACGUGCCAGCAGCCGCGGUAAUACGUAGGUGGCAAGCGUUGUCCGGAAUUAUUGGGCGUAAAGCGCGCGCAGGCGGCUUCCUAAGUCCAUCUUAAAAGUGCGGGGCUUAACCCCGUGAUGGGAUGGAAACUGGGAAGCUGGAGUAUCGGAGAGGAAAGUGGAAUUCCUAGUGUAGCGGUGAAAUGCGUAGAGAUUAGGAAGAACACCGGUGGCGAAGGCGACUUUCUGGACGAAAACUGACGCUGAGGCGCGAAAGCGUGGGGAGCAAACAGG